rnacentral:rRNA from 1 species
UACGUAGGGUGCGAGCGUUGCCCGGAAUUACUGGGCGUAAAGAGCUCGUAGGUGGUUUGUCGCGUUGUCCGUGAAAACUCACAGCUUAACUGUGGGCGUGCGGGCGAUACGGGCAGACUGGAGUACUGCAGGGGAGACUGGAAUUCCUGGUGUAGCGGUGGAAUGCGCAGAUAUCAGGAGGAACACCGGUGGCGAAGGCGGGUCUCUGGGCAGUAACUGACGCUGAGGAGCGAAAGCGUGGGGAGCGAACAGG